AAUAUGAAAACGGCGUUUUUAUCUAAAAAAGCUUACACACUAUCAUUUUCAGUCGUUCGCCAAAAGUUGCUCGUCCUCACUGAACGUCUGAAAACGCUUAAGUUCCUGCACUGCGCAUGAGCAAAAUCUUGCUCAGAAGCUGGGAGCAGCCAUGAUACAGCACCCCUGGAGCACAGAGAAUUAAGGGCCUUGCUCAAGGGCCCAAGAGUUGCAGCUUAAAGCUGCAAGAGCUUGGUGCUUGAAACCCUAAAUCCCGAGUUGCUGUUUUUUUGUCAUUCAAAACUUUGUUUCAAAUAAAAUUCAUGGUUUGA